rnacentral:tRNA from 11 species
UGGGGUGUCGCCAAGUGGUAAGGCAACGGGUUUUGAUCCCGUCAUUCGCAGGUUCGAGUCCUGCCACCUCAGCCA